rnacentral:antisense_RNA from 1 species
CUUCACCGAGCCCAGCCACAGGGGACGGUCCUCCGCCCGGUCCUGGCCGUACGUCGCCAGCAGGGCCUGGGCCUC